rnacentral:rRNA from 1 species
UACGUAGGCAGCAAGCGUUGUUCGGAAUUACUGGGCGUAAAGAGUGUGUAGGUGGUGUCGUAAGUUUGGUGUGAAAUCUCCCGGCUUAACUGGGAGGGUGCGCCGAAGACUGCGAUGCUGGAGUAUGGGAGAGGAAAGCGGAAUUCCUGGUGUAGCGGUGAAAUGCGUAGAUAUCAGGAGGAACACCUGCGGUGUAGACGGCUUUCUGGACCAUUACUGACACUGAGACACGAAAGCGUGGGUAGCAAACGGG